UGGGGAAUAUUGGGCAAUGGGGGAAACCCUGACCCAGCAACGCCGCGUGAAGGAAGAAGGCUUUCGGGUUGUAAACUUCUUUUACCAGGGACGAAGAACGUGACGGUACCUGGAGAAAAAGCCACGGCUAACUACGUGCCAGCAGCCGCGGUAAUACGUAGGUGGCAAGCGUUGUCCGGAUUUACUGGGUGUAAAGGGCGUGUAGGCGGAGAUGCAAGUCAGGAGUGAAAUCCAUGGGCUUAACCCAUGAACUGCUUUUGAAACUGCAUCCCUUGAGUAUCGGAGAGGCAGGCGGAAUUCCUAGUGUAGCGGUGAAAUGCGUAGAUAUUAGGAGGAACACCAGUGGCGAAGGCGGCCUGCUGGACGACAACUGACGCUGAGGCGCGAAAGCGUGGGGAGC
rnacentral:rRNA from 1 species